UUCAUGCUUUUUUUUGUUUGUUGAUGUUUUAAAUAAUUUAAACCAUUAGAGCAUACAGACUUCAUCUGAUAUUAGUGGAUUAUUGUUUCACAUUUUCUAAUUCAUGUCUAUAUUGUAAGUUGUAAAUUGUUUGCCUUCCCUCGUUUUCAUUCUCAUGCUGAUUAGUUCGUUGCACAGGUGUUCCUCUCAAUGUCUUCAUAUGCUCUUAUUAAUAUUUUUCAUGCAGGGUGUUUACUAACUCUUGCUUUUAAAAUGUCAGGAAAUGAAGCCCUUCCUCUAUAUUGCUUGGCGGGAGCUUUGACGUUGAGCGUGAUCCUAAAUAUUGUCCUCGCUCUGAAGAGGAGAAAAGGCUGUGAGAAUUGCAAAGGAGCUGCAUCAAACAACCAGGAGAGCGUUGAAGACAUGGCGAGCAAACAGAGUCAAGAUGAAGCAAUGAAUUACGCUGCUUUGACUUUCACCACCAAGAAACCCAAAGUGAGGAGGAACAAGAGGGAAGUGGAGAAAGAAACGGUUUACUCCGAUACGAGAUUUAGAGACCGCGAGUGAAGCUUUCCGUAGAAAUGUAUCUUUGUCAUAAGAAUGAUCAAACUGUUCCCUCACUAGAGUUGGUGAUCAUUAUGCCAUGUGUCUGUAAAUGAUGUCACAUUUACUGGAUUUGCCAAGAGCUGUGCUUGUUCUUAUAUUUUUGCUGUUUUUCAAAUACACAAAGUAAAACUUGUACAGUAUACUCCCUGA